GGCUGGUCUGAAAGCAGUGGUGUUUACAACUGCUUAAUCACAACCAGUUACAAAUUUCUUUGCUCCUUCUCUAAUCCCAUUGCUUCACUUGACUAGCCUUAA
rnacentral:Y_RNA from 1 species